AUGCUACGGAAUGUGUACCAUUGUCUAGGGUUCCAAGACUCCGCCAUGGCUGCUGCUGCCGUCCGUGCGGCUGUGACGGCUGGUGGGAACAGCACUUUCCUUUCGUGGGAAGAAGGUGUGGUGGGCAGCACUGGUCCCCGUUGGAGAGAUGUUUAUGUCUUGCCUGUGAAGCACUGCCCUCCCUCUGACAGCUGCUUGCCAAGUGGCUCCAUCCAUCACUGGGAGCAGGCACCACACGGCUCACUGCCCCAAGAGAUUCAGAGAUGCUUUGAUGCUGAAAGGCCCAUCCAGUGUUCUGUGAUUGUGGUCAACAGACAAAAGACUAUGCUGAAUCCGUGGGGCGGAAGGUGCGAGACCUGGGCGUAGUGGACUUGAUCUUCCUCAACACACAGGUGUCGUUGUCACGAGCCUUGGAGGAUGUGAGCAGGGAGGUUCCCUUUUGCUCCUGUCAUCACCCAGCAACGCCAGAGUCACCGUUCCUGUGCAGCCAACAUCAUGUUUGGAACCCCGCAAGAGCAUCGCGACAUGCCCCAGGCAGACGCCACAGUGCUGGUGGCCAGAAGUUAUGAGGGUUAUAAGAAUGAGCGCUGGGAGAAGCAACGUGAGGAGAUUGCCAGACAGGCAGCCAGGAUGCAGCCAUCCUGCAGGAAAGAGAGAGAGGAGGUCCCGAGGAGGGUGUACGCAGGGCCCGCCUCCAGCCGUCCAGCGCCUCACCAGCCUGCUGGCCGGCAACAGGUGCCUCACUGCCGAAAAGACUGACAAGAUCAGCAACUACCUAUGAGAGCAGAGGGAGUAGCUGAUGAGGAGCAGCACCGACUCUCUGCCUGGCUCGAUUUCCUGCCAACCACCCGGGCGACCUCAGGUGCCUUGCUGAAGACACGGCCAAGCUCCCAACCGCUCCAGAACGGCCACGUGCUUCCCUCUGCUACACCCACUCCAUCUGCACCCCCCACCUCCCAGCAGUAGCUUCAGGCCCAAAUCCUCAGCUUCUUCAGUAGUGGUACAGUGGCGGCCAAGAGCAGCUCUACAACCCCCUCCGAUGCUGCCGGAAACGCCCCGAACCAGAAUUUUUCUACAACAGCAAACAGCCAGCCUCUGCAAAGAUCACAGGCCUUUGGCAAUCAGCCUCCAAGCAUUUUGGGGCAGGGAGCAUCUGCUCAGAACAUGGGCCCCAGACCUGUGGCUCCGUCCCAAGGGCUUUUUGGCCAACUUUCCAGUCGCCUGGCACCACGGCUAGCCAGUGGCCUGUGUCUUCCACAGGUACCAACUUUGGCAAUCCAAGUGCACAGAAGGCUCUGGAUACCCUGAUGCAGAGUGGCCCUGCUCUCUCCCACCUGGUGAGCCAGACCACAGCACAGAUGGGGCAGCCACAGGCCCCCACGGGAUCUUACCAGAGGCAUUACUGAGGCUAGAGGUUUCAACUAUCCCCAGUCCCCUCAGCCCCUGGCCUCGUGCCACUUACUGCGUUCGAAAUAGAGUUGUUUGGAGGUUAUUCUUUGCAUUCUCCAGGUCUGCACUGAGUGUCAUCAGUUUUUCCCACCUGCCCCCGCUCCUGCCCAAGGCUGUAUUGCUUAUUCCUCACCAAGGUUACGCUGCAUUUGGGGCUGUAUUUUGUUUUGUUUUGAUUUUUGGAUUUUUGCAGAAAAUAAAUAUAUCCGGGGGUCACUUGGGCAGCACAGGUGUCUGGGUUUCCGUCUGAUGGGGUUUCUCCUGGUCCCUCUGUCAACCGGAUUUGGAGCCAGGCCCAGCUGGCCACAUUUGGGAUGGCAUCUGUCAUGUCAGCAGCCACCACCUUUGUUCAUUGUGAACCUACCAAGGCUUUCCAGCUUCAAACCCGUCGACCAGAGCUCAAGCUCCUGCCUGCAACUCCUCCGUAGAGUUAAAGAAAAGUUGGCUGGCCUUGGCAGGCACAGGGUCAUUAUCCCCCAACCCCACAUGUUUGGGGUCUGCUUGAGGAUUCAUAAAUCAGCUACCCUGGAUUGUUGAGGAAUGGCCAUGGCGGCCACAGAAGAAAGAAUUUUUCUGUCUGUGCCAAGGUUGUUUUUUUGUUUUCUUCUCUUUUAUUUUUGGUUUUCAUUUCGUUGGAAGAUCUCCGAUGGACUGAACCGCUCCAGUCAGCAGCAGUUUAAUACAAACUGUGAAUCUGGGCCCCAGCACUCUCCCCCUUACCAGCUCUGUCUGCAUCCCCCUCUCCAGCAGCACUUCCGUGGAGUCGAUUCUGAGACUCUGGCCGUGAACACUCAUUUCUUCAGUGAUUUAUUUUGAGCUUUUGGCUCAAAACGCCAGGCGCUUGUUUUCGUCUAGACUCUUGUUAUGUUUCCUGAGCAGCAGGAGGUAGGGACCACUUUGAUGUCAGACUUCUGGUAGCUGGACGUGUUCUUGAGAUAGGUGGCUGUUCAUGAGUUUUGUACCAGAGUGAAAUUGUUGGAGGGGGGGCUUCUGGCUGUGGUUCUAAGUGGAGCCCCAGGAAGCGGCCCUCUCCCCAGGGAUUGUACUCAGUAGAUCUCUGUGGAUCACAGUCUCGAGAUCCUCUAGAAGGGGAGAGGGAGAGCAGUGACUUCAGCGGAGUCCCUGACAGUGGCAGAGAAAACAAUGGCUUCAAAAUUCAAGGCCCCCAUAUGGCAGCAUUUUAUGUUCUGACCUGUUUGUGUUACAUAGCAUUUUUUUUUUUUUUUUUGUCUCUUUGGAACUCUUGUGUUGUUAAUGAAAUGAUUGGAGUUCAAGACCAGACUGACCGAUGGUGAAACCCCAUCUCUACU